UGAUGUGUUUCAUGAUGGCGUCGUGGAUUCGGCGUGUUUGACGGCGGUUCGUGGAUUCGGAUCGUGGGCUUGUGGAUUCGAGUGGCGUUCGUGGAUUCGGAAGUGUGCGAGGCGUUCGUGGAUUCGAACGUGAGGGCGUGGACAACCCAGAGGAUUGCGCGAGAUUCAUAGGAGGUUAAGAGAGGUUGAGUCCGUGGAGUCGGUAAUCACCUUGUAAUCUUUUCUCUUAGUGAAUUAUUUUUUUUCGCGUGUUGGUUCUGUGGGUUUUUCUCUAAGUUGGAGUUUUUUCACGUAAAUCUCGGUGUGAUUUUUAUUUUUCGCAUUAUUUUUAUCGCAUUGAGAUUUGUGGUUUUUGGCUAUUACACCUAUUCACCCCCCUCUAGGUGAUAG
rnacentral:lncRNA from 1 species